rnacentral:rRNA from 1 species
UCGUGCUCGUGCUCGUGCUCAGGCCUAAUACAUGCAAGUCGGACGGGAUCCAUCGGAGAGCUUGCUCGAAGAUGGUGAGAGUGGCGCACGGGUGCGUAACGCGUGAGAACCUACCUCUAUCAGGGGGAUAGCCUCUCGAAAGAGAGAUUAACACCGCAUAACAUCAACAGUUCGCAUGUUCGGUUGAUUAAAUAUUUAUAGGAUAGAGAUGGGCUCGCGUGACAUUAGCUAGUUGGUAGGGUAACGGCUUACCAAGGCGACGAUGUCUAGGGGCUCUGAGAGGAGAAUCCCCCACACUGGUACUGAGACACGGACCAGACUCCUACGGGAGGCAGCAGUAAGGAAUAUUGGUCAAUGGGCGGGAGCUGAACCAGCCAUGCCGCGUGCAGGAUGACUGCCCUAUGGGUUGUAAACUGCUUUUGUCCAGGAAUAAACCUAAAUACGUGUAUUUAGCUGAAUGUACUGGAAGAAUAAGGAUCGGCUAACUCCGUGCCAGCAGCCGCGGUAAUACGGAGGAUCCGAGCGUUAUCCGGAUUUAUUGGGUUUAAAGGGUGCGUAGGCGGCCUAUUAAGUCAGGGGUGAAAUACGGUGGCUCAACCAUCGCAGUGCCUUUGAUACUGAUGGGCUUGAAUCCAUUUGAAGUGGGCGGAAUAAGACAAGUAGCGGUGAAAUGCAUAGAUAUGUCUUAGAACUCCGAUUGCGAAGGCAGCUCACUAAGCUGGUAUUGACGCUGAUGCACGAAAGCGUGGGGAUCGAACAGGAUUAGAUACCCUGGUAGUCCACGCCCUAAACGAUGAUAACUCGAUGUUUGGCGAUAGACAGCCAGCGUCCCAGCGAAAGCGUUAAGUUAUCCACCUGGGGAGUACGCCCGCAAGGUGAAAACUCAAAGGAAUUGACGGGGGCCCGCACAAGCGGAGGAGCAUGUGGUUUAAUUCGAUGAUACGCGAGGAACCUUACCCGGGCUUGAAAGUUAGUGAAGAGUGCAGAGACGCACUCGUCCUUCGGGACACGAAACUAGGUGCUGCAUGGCUGUCGUCAGCUCGUGCCGUGAGG